UUCACAGUGAGUGGCUAUGGUGCUGC
rnacentral:piRNA from 1 species